rnacentral:ncRNA from 9 species
CUUGACCUCGGAUCAGGUAGGGAUA